rnacentral:misc_RNA from 1 species
CAUCUCUCUGUAUAAAUAUGUGUGUGUGUGUGUGUGAAGUGACUAUUGAUAAUAAUGAUAGAUCAAUCGAACAUUAUAAUCCAAAGAAAAAUACCACAUAUAUUUAAGUGUCAUUUUUUCUGUUGUUGUUGUUGUUAGAAGUGUCAAGGAAAUCGUAUACAGAGCCAAUUCUCAGUACUACGUAGACGUAGUAGAUGGCGCUGACUGCCGGUGUGUUGCUCAAAACCCAACAAGAAGGAGGAGUAGAACCUGUUGCUUUUCUGUCAUUGGGCAGAUGCUAUGCUGGGAUUACAAGUGAAUAGUGGAAACAUCAAGAAUGAAAUUAAUCACGAUGAAAUCUGAUUUGUGAAGGCUUAUGAGAUACCUGAAAGCACUGAAAGCUGUGAGGCAUUAAUAGGAAUGAAAUUAGCCCAACCUUCUGCUGAUCACAAAGUAUAAAUGAUUGGAAAAACUGAUGGCAUAUUCAAGAAAGAUGAAAUGACCACUACUGUGAGCUAAGCUGCAAAUCCCAUCUUGAAAAGCAGAUUACUAUAAACCUGAAAGUCUAUGCAAAGUCUGAGAAAAGGCUAUCAACAAUGAGAACAUGUUGCAGAAAAUCAAAUUAGGAAAUGGUACUUCAAACUUUACAAGAGGAAAGAAUUAGAGCUGAUUCUCCAAAAUAGUAAAGAAUUUUUUCUCAGUGAUAUUUUAUUUUCAAGCUUUUGUACAACAUUAGUAUCCAAAAUAAAUAGCAAGGUGGUAAAGAAGAUAACUAUUUAUUACUCAUUAUAAGGAGCAUCAAACACUACUCUCUGAUUGAAGAUAAUCAAAUAAUUAUUUGCCUUGACCAAGUAGGCCGCUGCCUCUCCCUGUGUGCCAGAAAUAGUUUGGGCCCUAAUUACUUGAAGCACCAGACAGGCUUGAACUCUUGAACAUUUGAUCAGUAUACAGGUUCUUUCCUCCAGUGAGCUAAUGAUGAUCAAGACCAAAUAAAACAGUGUGUGAUGUGCUCACUUCUGUCUCUUACAAGAUAUCUGAAAUUAUUUAGCGAGGCCAGUACCAGUGUUUACUUCAAAAAGCUAUACAUAAUCUUUAUGCAUAAAUGCAGUGUGAUACAUGGUAAUUCUUCUACAUCUCCAAGUAAAGUGCUAGAUUCUAAUAGCCAUAUUUUUGACAAUGUAAAGAAGACACAGCCAAAAGGAAAUGAGACAAUGAUAUACUUUUUUUUUGAAAAAUGAAGGACUGCCUUUUCCUCAUAUGUGAAGAAGCAUUGACUGCUAUUUUCUCUUAGCUGAAAGACCCAUAUGACCUAGUUCUCAGAGGAAUGCAGAAAUCUCAUGAAAAAAAAUUACCAUCUGUACCAGUGCAGUGAGAAGCUAAACUAGAAACUCUGUUCAGUAAGAAGUGAUAUACUAGGAGAAAUAAUAAUCAAGUUAAUGGAAAGAUACUUUCUCAGUAUUUUCUUUGUCACUUACCUGGCAAAGAAAAUAUUGAGAGAGUUGUAAAGGAUUAGCUGGUUAAUAAAUGAAGGCUUGUAGAAAGAAGGGGGAGAGGCUUCGACGAGAAAACUUUGAUCUUCGAUAAGUCAUCUGUCAAAAGAUAUGGACAAAAUGUGCAAAACGGAUUUCACAAAUUUCAAGCCAGAAGAGAUCAUGCAGG